rnacentral:tRNA from 1 species
AGGGAAAUAGCUCAGUGGUAAGAGUGCGUGAUUAACACGCAUGAGCUGAGGUCCUGAGUUCAAUCCCCAGUACCUCCA